GCCGGGACCACCCGGUAAGGCUAAAUACUCCCAAGAGACCGAUAGUGAACCAGUACCGUGAGGGAAAGGUGAAAAGAACCCCGAACAGGGGAGUGAAAUAGAACCUGAAACCAUACGCUUACAACCGGUCGGAGCAGCUUCGUGCUGUGACGGCGUGCCUAUUGAAUAAUGAGCCUACGAGUUACUAAUCACUGGCGAGGUUAAGUGCACGGAUGCACGGAGCCGAAGCGAAAGCGAGUCUGAACAGGGCGGCUAGUCAGUGGUUGUAGACGCGAAACCUUGCGAUCUACCCUUGAGCAGGUUGAAGGUUGGGUAAAACCAACUGGAGGACCGAACGAAUAAGCGUUGAAAAGCUUCUCGAUGACUUGAGGGUAGGGGUGAAAGGCUAAUCAAGCUGGGAAAUAGCUCGUACUCCCCGAAAUGCCUUUAGGGGCAGCGUUGUAAUUAAGAGUCUACUGGAGGUAGAGCUACUGAUUGGAUGCGGGGGCUUCACCGCCUACCAAAUCCUGACAAACUCCGAAUGCCAGUAGUAUGAUUUACAGCAGUGAGCGACCGGGUGCUAAUGUCCGGUUACGAGAGUGGAACAACACAGACCAGCAACUAAGGUCCCGAAGAGUAUACUAAGUUGAUCUAACGAUGUUUUGCUGCAGAGACAGCUAGGAUGUUAGCUUGGAAGCAGCUAUUCAUUCAAAGAGUGCGUAACAGCUCACUAGUCGAGCGGCAAAGCGUGGAUAAUAAACGGGCAUCAAGUAUACCACCGAAGUUCUGGGCACGAGAGUGCGGUAGGGGAGCAUUCCAUUGACGUCGAAGCCAUUCCGCGAGGAUAGGUGGAGUUUAUGGAAAAGCAAAUGUAGGCAUGAGUAACGAUAAUGCGGGAGAGUAACCCGCACACCGCAAGACCAAGGUUUCCUGAUCAACGCUAAUCGGAUCAGGGUUAGUCGGGUCCUAAGGGUAAGCCGAACGGUGAUCUCGAUGGACAAUCGGUUAAUAUUCCGAUACUAACAUAUACCUCGAUGGAGAGACGAAGGAACGUAAGUGACGCCGCCUGACGGAAUAGGUGGUUAAAGGGCGUAGGUAUAGGGACAGAUUAAGAGUUAGUCCUUGCUGAAACCCGACAGUACGGAGCGGCUACGGCCAAUCUGAUAGUUCACCCAAGUCGACUUCCGAGAAAAUCUUCUAAGUUAUAGUAUAUGUUACCCGUACCGUAAACCGACACAGGUGGUCGAGGAGAGUAUCCUAAGGUGCUCGAGUGAAUCACGGUUAAGGAACUAGGCAAAUUAACCCCGUAACUUCGGGAAAAGGGGUCCCUACGCGAGUAGGGCGCAGCGAAGAGGUCCAGGCGACUGUUUAUCAAAAACACAGGGCUCUGCAAAUUCGAAAGAAGACGUAUAGGGCCUGACACCUGCCCGGUGCUGGAAGGUUAAGAGGGGAUGUCAUCGCAAGAGAAGCAUUGAAUCGAAGCCCCAGUAAACGGCGGCCGUAACUAUAACGGUCCUAAGGUAGCGAAAUUCCUUGUCGGGUAAGUUCCGACCUGCACGAAUGGUGUAAUGAUCUGGACACUGUCUCAUCCGUGAGCUCAGUGAAAUUGUAGUCCCGGUGAAGAUGCCGGGUACCCGCAACGGGACGAAAAGACCCCGUGAACCUUUACUAUAGCUUAACGCUGAAUUUGGGUACACAAUGUGUAGGAUAGGCCGGAGACAUUGAAGCGGGUACGCCAGUAUUCGUGGAGUCAACGUUGAAAUACGGCCCUUUGUGUACUUGGAUUCUAACCCUUGAUAGGGGACACCGUUUGGUGGGUAGUUUGACUGGGGUGGUCGCCUCCAAAAGCGUAACGGAGGCUUCCCAAGGUACCCUCAGCACGAAUGGUAACCGUGCGCAGAGUGCAAUAGCAUAAGGGUGCUUGACUGUGAGACUUACAAGUCGACCAGGUGCGAAAGCAGGGUAUAGUGAUCCGGUGGUUCUGUGUGGACUGGCCAUCGCUCAAAGGAUAAAAGGUACUCCGGGGAUAACAGGCUGAUCGCCGCCAAGAGCUCAUAUCGACGCGGCGGUUUGGCACCUCGAUGUCGGCUCGUCACAUCCUGGGGCUGGAGAAGGUCCCA
rnacentral:rRNA from 1 species